GCCGAAGCCGCCGCCUUCGUCGUCUCCGGCGGGCUCUUUGCCGGCCAAGAAUGUGGCCGUUCCAUGGUCGGCCGCCUCGCCAGCUGCGGUGGCGCUCUACUCGUCGCCGGCAUCUGACUCUUCCCCGUUGGUUGUGAGGACAUAUGGCCAAGCGACCCACCGCUUUGUCCCCUCCCGUGACUUUGGACGUUUUUUUUCCCGUUUUCCAGAACGUUUGGUAUCCGUCUAGGAUCCGUGCCCUUUUGUUGGUGUUCUCCCUUGUUUUGUGUUGGUUCCUGUCUUGUGCUUUUCUUUUGGUGGCACUUCCUGUCGUGAUGGUGUUUUUCCGUGACCGCAUCUUGUCCAGAGCAUUUCCCCUCACCUAUUUUCAGUUUGCAAUCAGUUCUAUUUAAGUUGAGUGUGAGCCACCAUUCUUUGUCAGGACUUUGUUUGGAAAUGAUAAUCAUUCAUGUGGACGCUCUUUUCUCCUGCUAUAUUCCAGCAUUCCGUUUUUAUUGUUUUUCACUUGUCAGUUUUAGUUUCGUUUUUUGCGUAGCCUUCCCUAUGCUUCGGUGCCUUCCUAGCGGCACUCAUCUUUGUUUGUUUUGAGCUACGUUAAAUACAUGUAACUGCAUGUUGCCUCUUUGAUCUUCUGCAUCUUGGGAACACGCCACUAAUCGCCGUCAUGCGAUCCGAGCGUCACACAUUCCUAAAGUGAUGACACACACACGUAGGACGGAGGAUUCUCGUCUGUCCAUCAUCUGCCUUUGCAGCACAAGCACCGAUCCUGCAGCCAUGUUUGCACGUCCUUCUGACAUGUGCUAAACAAAACGCAAAAUAUAUUGUGGGUGUUUUGACGAUCAGCAUCUAUCCAUCCAUCCAUCCGUUUUCUACCACUUGUCCCUUUCUGGUUCGCGGAGGGGCUGGAGCCUAUCCCAGCUGCAUUGGAGCAGAAGGCGCGGUACACCCUGGACAAGUCACCACCUCAUUGCAGGGCCAACACAGACAGACAGACAUAUAUUUUGCAUAUUAAUGGGAUGUACGCAUUAUUCGGCUCACUUAACAGAUGCAAUCCACUUUGCACACGUUUAGCAAAUCAGCUUUGCUUGUGCCAUCAGGUUUGCAUGUGUUAUAGUGCACGCAAAAACCUUUAGUAAAUCAAGCCCUUAAUCCUUUUGAAUAUAGAUCUGGGAUACCUUAGAAUAAAUGUUUCUAUGCCAAAUGAUUUAGGUCUGGACACUGCCUGGGCCCUUUCAACACUGUCAUUUCUUCCUGGUGAAGCAAAUAUUUUUGUGGUUUAGUUUCAGAACUGUGUA